UGGGGAAUUUUGCGCAAUGGGCGAAAGCCUGACGCAGCGACGCCGCGUGGGUGAUGAAGGCCUUCGGGUUGUAAAGCCCUGUGGGGAGGGAAGAAUAAGGGGCGGCUAAUACCCGCACCGAUGACGGUACCUCCUUAGCAAGCACCGGCUAACUCUGUGCCAGCAGCCGCGGUAAGACAGAGGGUGCAAACGUUGUUCGGAAUUACUGGGCGUAAAGCGCGUGUAGGCGGUCUAGCAAGUCGGAUGUGAAAGCCCUUGGCUCAACUGAGGAAGUGCAUUCGAAACUGCGAGACUUGAGUCCCGGAGAGGAUGGUGGAAUUCUCGGUGUAGAGGUGAAAUUCGUAGAUAUCGAGAGGAACACCGGUGGCGAAGGCGGCCAUCUGGACGGUGACUGACGCUGAGACGCGAAAGCAUGGGGAGCAAACA
rnacentral:rRNA from 1 species